rnacentral:lncRNA from 1 species
AGUGGAGCCUGGCUCCUUGGCCCUGAGUUCAGCCCCCAUCACAGCUGCCGAAUUCACAGUCAGUGCUCAACACGUGUUCACGUGUUUGGAGGACGAACCAAACCCGAGUUCUCGGGGCUCCCCAGCCAGCAUGAAGACCGUGUAACCACAGCACGCAUGGGCGGGCCGCUUGGCAAUGGCCAGGCUCAUGCUCUACUGAGCCCCUGGGGGUCACGACUCCCCUGCUGCUCUGUGCAGAGAAAGAAAAGGCAGUCACCUCUCUCUUCCCUCACUGGAAGGUGAGGCCCAGGGGGUCCGGCCUGUGGGAUGUGAAGAAGCCACACAUUGGUGCCCAUCACCUGGUCCUCAGCCUCUCCUUAGGGCAGAGUCGAGGCCCAGAAGGUUGAAAGAGCUGGAAGCUGGGGAAGAGCCUGCACCAGUGCCUUUGCCUCUUAUCAGUCAGUCCGAUUUUUGUUCUCUGACUUUUCGCUCUGUCGCCCAGGCUGGAGUGCAGUGGCGUGAUCUCAGCUUACUACAACCUCCGCCUCCCAGGUUCAAGCGAUUCUCCUGCCUCAGCCUCUUGAGUAGCUGGGAUUACAGACCUGGUGAGCAGGAAGUACAGGAUCGUUUUGAAUUCAGCAGAUUUUGAAUAAUGCCAGAUCAGGAGUGGAUCUCUGGGGUAAGAUGCAAUGGUCCCACACACUUAUAUGUCACCAGAGUCCACUCUUUGGGGAACAGCAAUUUGACGGAACAUGUCAAGAGCUUGUGAAAAUAAGUAAUUCACAUUCGACCUGUUACCCAGAAAAAAACCGGGGUUCAUUCACCUGGUGAAUCUCAAACGGCUCUCCACGAGAACGCAGGUUUGGAUCAGUAGGAGUUUUAUGACUCGCCACAGGUAAGAAUCCUUGGAGGGACUCUCUGGAAUUUCCUUAUCUGACCUAGAAAGUGUCUUGCCAAAAGAAACACAUUUGCCUUCUGUCCGUCUGAUACCCCAUUAUCCACUGCAGAAAAGAAGCCGGAAGAAAAGAAGUCAGAAGUCCAACCACAGCUGGAUGGACUUUUCCACAACAUAAUGUCUGCCUCUCAGACUCAUUCCAUUCACAAGUUGAUUUCUGUCUCCCUGAUCCAUUCAUUCUCCUUAAUAAUCAUUUACUGCUCCUCAAAACAAUGCUCUAUGUUUCCCAUCUCCUCGCUCCCCUGGGAAAAAGAGUACAUAAGCUUCUGUACCCCAUUGGGGGAUUGGGGUAAUCACACUGUAAUUCUCUCCCAUGAAUGUUAAUAAAU